CGCACGUUCGAAAGAAAUUGGGAGGGAAGAGAGAGAGAGAGAGAGAGAGAGGGGCAUGAGUGGGCAUGGCGAACCUGUCGAGCCUGGUGCACGAGCUACGAGAGCGCAUAGCUGCGACCUCGUCGACUCCUCUACACAUCGGAGACGACGUCGCUUUGGAGACCAGAUUCCGCGCCGUCCUCCCCAAUCUCCUCCACGCCUACGUUGUCCCCUCGCCCUCCGCGAAUGAGAGAGAAGUUAUAGCUGUAUUGAAGCUAAUCUCCCACACUGCAAGGAAUUUUCCUGGAGUCUUUUACCAUGGGAAGGCUAGCGCAGUUUUACCUGUGGUUGGUCGAGUACUGCCUUUCUUUGCGGAACCUGCAUUUCGCUUUCGACAUGGAGUAAUUUUCGAGACGAUUGGAUCCCUUUUAUCCUUGCUUCGUAGUGGAGCACGGGAUGCUUACCGACAAUUUUUCGUUGAUUCCAUGUUAGUUGUUGAAGAUCUUUUGUAUGUGGCUUCGCUCUCUGCUGACAGUUUGAACAUCACAGAAUCGACUUGUUUGAAUUUGAAGUGUUUCUGUGAGUCCUUUAUGGGAAUUUUUAGUGAUCCUGAUCAUCUCGGAGAUCUUCCGGAAAGUAAUAAACCAACUGAUGGCAUUGGAAUUAUGAUUAACCUUACGGGAAAAAGGAGGUGGCGACCUUUUGUGACCUGGAUCAUUAAGCUCCUCAGUAGAUGCUUAACUGAAGGAACUUUGUAUGUUGAAGGACUAAUCCAUGCGUCAUUUGUUUCUGCUGCAUGUUCUCUUGUAUGUUAUGGUGAUGCGGAUUUGCAAAUGGCAUGUUUUGACUUUGCGCGCAUCAUUGGAUCGGUGAUAAAUUAUGAUAUUCUUUCUCAUCAAAACUUAAUCCAGUCAGUAUCCACCAUAUUAAAUGAGGACAAAGAGGGGCUUCCUGUAUUCAGAAAUGUGGCUUAUGAUUCGUCCUUGGGUGGUUGCCUUCAUGCACUACACUCUAGGUGCGCUGAUGACAUUGUCAAGCUAACAGCUGCAGAUUUAGUCAAUGUUUUUCUUCAGUCAAUGUGGAGAACCAAAAGCCAGGAUCUUAAGGUUGCAUUGUGUAAUGCGUACAUAAGGAUUGCUAAAAUUUGCCCCCCUCAUGUCUGGAGGCCAGAAUCUCUUAUUCGCACACUUUGUUUUCCAGAACCGUGCUUUCUACUGAUAGAUUGUUUUCGAGUAGCUUUGUCAAUUCUUGGUCCUGAUAGUGUUGGAGGGAGAGCAACAAAUUGUAGUGCUCUAGAUUUUUUAACUUCCAGUGAUAAAUCAAUUGAAAACUUGAGGGUUGGAGAAAAGAGGCCUAUUCCAGAUGUGGAAACUUUUAAGGUCAAACGUCAGAAGUUAGAUGAUGAAAUUAUGGCAUCCGAUGCUAAUGUUCAGGUGCAGAGCAAGCACACUUGCAUAGUUACUUGUGAAAGGGAAGACAAAUAUGCAAAUGAUAUGCAUAAAUCACUUAUUUCGUUUGUUAAGUAUCUAAACUCUCCUGAUGUCGGAACUGAUACUUUAAGUCCACAUGUUGCGUUGACGGCUCUUAGCAUGCUUUGCAUUGGCUUCUCUAGAUUCCCGGAUGCCAAUCUAUCAAUCUUUAUUUUUCAACAGAUGUAUGCAUGGAUUCCCAGGAUAUGCGAGCUGGCAAAGCAAGAGAAUUCAAUGACGCUUGAUGUUUCCAUUUACCUGGAGGGAAUUCACAGCAUAUUGCUUUUGCAAAGUAUCCCGCUUAUGGAGAACAAGCUUUUCAAAAAUACAGAAAAUAGUGCAGAACUUUUAUCUAUGGUACUAAAGCUUCCCUGGUCUCAUUCUCUUGUGAUUACUGAACCUCAAAAUACAUGGAAAACAAAAUGUAUCUCACUUCAAGUUGCAUCCAAGCUUGGUUCUAGCUUAAAAACUGAAAUUGGUCUUGAAGUCUUGGAUUUGAGUCUUUGUGACGAAGUUGAGGAAGUUAGACUUGAAGCUGUUGUUUCUAUGCCAGUGAUUGUGUUCUGGUCUGGUCUUGGUGUACUGACACAUAUAUUCAGAAGGGUGGAGUCCUUGGGGAGAGAGAAGCAUGUGAGUGUUAAGAAAAUUAUUCCCCUUUCUCUUGGAUUUUUGUCAUGCCUUUAUGGAUCUUGUACUGUAGAUGGUCUAGAUAAAAGUGUGUGCAAAUUAUUUUUGAAUAUAAACAAUGAGAAACAUAGUCAGACUGUAGAUUAUUUACUGCAAGGAUUCUGGUGUUCAAAGUGUGACAGAAGUGUUGUGCACAAUGCUGAAUUAUAUUCAAGAAUUAUAUAUCCACCUGAUAUGCAAAGGAUGGAGAUUAGUUUGGAUGGUGAUUUCAUCCAUCUGCAGUCACUUUUUUUUGAACUUCUUUAUGAUGAGUCAUCAGAAGAGGUUCAAGUUGCCUGUGUGGAAAUUAUUCGACGGAUCCUUGUACAUGGGACUGCAGAUGUUCUGCUUAAAACAAGAUCUGAAUGGACUAAAUGCAUUGAUUUUCUGCUCCUUAACAGAAGGAAGGCUGUAAGGGAAGCAUUUUGCACUCAGAUUAGUUCCUUUCUUGAGGAUCCUAUUUUGAGUUGUCUAUUUUCUGAUGAGGGCAGAUCGAAUAAAAGUAAAGAACAAAAUUUCCUGGAUAUAAUUAAACAUGCCUUAGCAGCAGCUGAAGAUCCCCAAAUCUUUGAAACUCUUUUGGAAUCUACAGCAGAAAUUAUGAUUGCAGUUGAUAUUUACAGCCAACUCUUUUUGUUUUCUCUUAUCUUGUUGGUCGAUCAGCUAGACAAUCAACAUGUGACGGUGAGAAUGAAUGCAUCGAGGUUAAUACACAAAUCUUGCUACUUUCAUCUUAAAGGAGGAUUUGAACUUAUCCUACUAAAAGUUGUUCAUAUUCGAAAUGAACUAUUUGAUUAUCUAUCUGUGAGGCUCGCCAGCCGUCCAAAAAUGGUCAGAGAAUUUGCAGAAGCUGUUUUUGGUGUUGAAAUUGAAGAACUUGUGAAGAAAAUGAUUCCUGUUGUUCUUCCGAAGCUUGUAGUGUCUCAGCAGGAUAAUGAUCAUGCAGUUGACACCUUAUAUGAGUUGGCCAAGUGUUUGAAUACUGAUAUGGUGCCUCUGAUAGUUAAUUGGCUACCAAAAGUGCUUGCCUUCGCUCUCCAUCAAGCAGAUGGGCAAGAGUUACUCUCAGCUUUGCAAUUUUACCGUACACAUACUGGCUCAGACAAGCAAGAAAUUUUUGCAGCUGCAUUACCUGCCCUUUUGGAUGAACUUGUUUGCUUUCUGGAUGGUGGUGAUUCAGAUGAGAUAAGCAAAAGGUUAGCAAGAGUACCUCAGAUGAUAAAAGAAGUUGCUAGAGUUCUAACUGGUGGUGAAGAUCUUCCAGGAUUUUUGAGGAACCAUUUUGUUGGCCUCCUUAACAGUAUCGAUAGAAAAAUGCUCCAUGCUGAUGAUUUAUCGCUGAAGGAACAAGCAUUAAAACGUAUUGAGAUGCUGAUUAAAAUGAUGGGUUCUCACCUUAGUACUUAUGUACCAAAACUAAUGGUUCUUCUCAUGCAUGCUAUCGAUAAAGAAUCGCUCCUGAGUGAGGGUCUCUCGGUCUUGCAUUUCUUCAUUGAGCAGCUAGCAAAAGUAUCGCCAUCUAGCACAAAACAUUUAAUUUCUCAAGUUUUUGCUGCUCUUAUUCCUUUCUUGGAGAGAGAGAAAGAAAAACCUUCAGUGAAUUUGGAUAAAGUGGUGAAAAUUUUGGAAGAACUUGUUUUAAAGAACAAGGUUAUCCUAAAAGAGCAUAUUGGCGAGUUCCCUCCAUUACCCAGUAUUCCAGCUCUAACAGAAGUUAACAAAGCCAUACAAGAAGCACGGGGGUCAAUGACCUUGAAGGAUCAACUGCGAGAUGUUGUUGAUGGUUUGAAUCAUGAGAAUUUGAAUGUGAGGUAUAUGGUAGUGUGCGAGUUCAGCAAGUUGCUAAACCUAAGAAGAGAGGAGGUUACAGCUCUGAUCACUGCCGAAGCUGGUUCAGACAUAGAUGUUUUGAGCUCUUUGAUCACAUCCUUAUUAAGGGGCUGUGCAGAAGAAUCAAGGACUGCAGUAGGACAGCGGCUGAAGUUGGUCUGUGCUGAUUGCCUUGGAGCACUGGGUGCAGUUGACCCUGCCAAAGUUAAGGGUUUUUCAUGCCAACGCUUUAAGAUUGAAUGUUCGGAUGACGACCUUAUCUUUGAAUUGAUCCACAAGCAUCUGGCCAGGGCUUUUAGAGCUGCACCAGACACCAUUAUUCAAGACUCGGCUGCAUUGGCGAUACAAGAGCUGCUAAAAAUUGCAGGUUGUGAGGCAUCACUGGAUGUGAAUGCUUCUGCUUCUAUUUCACAGACACUGAAGGAAAAGGAAUCUCUAAAGGUCGUUGCAUCUAGGAUUAAGAGCAAAGAUGGUAGUGGUGAGAUGAAUGGGAGGGGUCAAAAACUGUGGGACCGGUUCUCUAACUAUGUUAAAGAGAUAAUUGCCCCUUGCUUAACCUCUAGAUUUCAGCUUCCAAAUGUGGCUGAUUCUGCAUUCACAGGCCCAAUUUACCGGCCAUCUAUGUCAUUCAGGAGAUGGAUUUUCUUUUGGAUAAAGAAACUCACUGUGCAUGCAACUGGAUCUCGUGCUACUAUUUUUAAUGCUUGUCGAGGUAUAGUUCGUCAUGAUAUGCAAACAGCUAUAUAUCUGCUUCCUUAUUUAGUCCUAGAUGCUGUCUGUCAUGGUACUGAGGAGGCACGCUGUGGCAUAACAGAAGAAAUACUAUCUGUUCUUGAUGCUGCUGCAUCAGAAAACAGUGGGGCAACAGUUCAUGAAGUCAGUGGUGGGCAAACUGAAGUUUGCAUUCAGGCUGUGUUCACUCUUCUUGAUAAUCUUGGGCAAUGGGUGGAUGACGUUGAACAAGAACUAGCUCUUUCCCACUCUUUCCAAUCAUCAGCUUCUAAGCAACAAGCACCCAAGUCAAAGGAUCGACGCUCAACUUCUUUGACAGAUCAAGACCAACUCCUUGUACGGUGUAAAUAUGUUUCAGAGCUUCUGACUGCAAUUCCAAAGGUGACACUUGCCAGGGCCUCUUUUAGGUGUCAGGCUUAUGCAAGGUCUUUAAUGUACUUUGAGUCUCAUGUGCGGGAAAAGUCGGGUUCUUUCAACCCUGCUGCUGAGAGGAGUGGAGUUUUUGAGGAUGAAGAUAUUUCCUAUCUAAUGGAAAUAUACAGCUGUCUGGAUGAGCCUGAUGGUCUUUCCGGAUUGGCAUGUUUACGCAAGUCUUUAAGGUUACAAGACCAGCUCUUAAUAAACAAAAAAACAGGAAACUGGGCUGAAGUUUUGACUUCUUGUGAACAAGCUCUGCAAAUGGAGCCCACUUCAGUUCAGAGACAUUCUGAUGUACUUAACUGUUUAUUAAACAUGUGCCACCUUCAGGCCAUGGUAACUCAUGUGGAUGGUUUAAUUUCUAGGAUUCCCAAAUACAAGAAAACAUGGUGCAUGCAAGGUGUGCAAGCUGCAUGGAGGCUUGGCAGGUGGGAUUUGAUGGAUGAGUAUCUUAGUAAAGCUGAUGAAGAAGGUUUGCUUUGUAGCAGCUCUGAGAGUAAUGCUUCCUUUGACAUGGAUGUUGCAAAGAUUCUCCAGGCAAUGAUGAAGAAGGAUCAGUUCUCAGUUGCUGAGAAAAUUGCAUUGUCCAAGCAAGCUCUGAUUGCUCCUCUGGCUGCUGCUGGGAUGGAUUCCUAUACACGGGCUUACCCAUUCAUUGUGAAACUUCACUUGCUAAGAGAGCUGGAAGACUUCCAGAGUCUUCUUGUUGAUGACUCUUUCUUGGAGAAAUUAUUUCGUUUGGGUGAUCUGGGAUUCUCAAAAGUGAUGGAGAACUGGGAGAAUCGUCUCAGAUUUACGCAGCCGUCACUUUGGGCAAGGGAUCCACUUCUAGCUUUCCGAAGAUUGGUUUUUGGUGCCAGUGGUCUUGGUGCUCAAGUUGGGAACUGCUGGCUUCAAUAUGCAAAGCUCUGUCGCUUAGCUGGUCACUAUGAAACAGCAAACCGAGCAAUUCUUGAAGCUCAGGCUUCAGGUGCACCUAACGUCCACAAGGAGAAGGCUAAGCUUCUGUGGAGUACUAGGCGAUCUGAUGGUGCCAUUGCGGAGCUUCAACAAGCUCUCCUGAACAUGCCUGUCGAGGUUGUCGGCUCCGCUGCAAUAUCAUCGAUCACUAGCCUUUCACUGGUUCCACUGAACCCACCGCCUUUGGUUUGUGAUACUCAGGCGCUGAAUGAGAAUCGAGAUAUUGCGAAGACCCUUCUCCUCUAUUCUAGGUGGAUCCAUUACACUGGGCAGAAGCAGAAAGAGGAUGUGAUAAGUCUUUAUUCCAGGGUGAGGGAAUUACAGCCUAAGUGGGAGAAAGGAUACUUCUAUAUGGCCAAGUAUUGUGACGAGCUGCUUGCUGAUGCCAGGAAACGUCAGGAAGAGAAUUUUGAUUUAGGUCCCAGGAUAGUGCCACCUACUUCUGCUGUUGUUGGUUCUUCCAAUGUAAACACGGAGAAGCACUGGUGGUCUUAUGUGCCUGAUGUACUGUUAUUUUAUGCAAAGGGGCUACAUAGGGGCCACAAAAAUCUCUUUCAAGCACUUCCAAGGUUGUUAACCCUGUGGUUUGACUUUGGGAGCAUUUAUCAAAGAAGUGGUUCGUCUUCCAAUAAAGAUUUGAAAAGUGUCCACGGGAAGGUAAUGAGUAUUAUGCGCGGCUGUCUCAAGGAUUUGCCAGCAUAUCAGUGGUUAACAGUAUUGCCUCAGUUAGUUUCCAGAAUUUGCCACCAAAAUGAAGAAAUUGUUCGAUUGGUCAAACACGUAAUCACUUCAGUGCUUCGGCAAUACCCACAGCAAGCCCUAUGGAUUAUGGCGGCUGUUUCAAAAUCAACUGUUCCAUCAAGGCGGGAGGCAGCUGCUGAAAUCAUACAAGCUGCACGAAAAGGGUUCAGCCAAGGAAAUAGUGGCAACAAUUUGUUUGUUCAGUUUGCUAGCCUGAUUGAUCAUCUAAUCAAGUUGUGCUUCCAUGGUGGUCAGCCAAAAUCGAAGACAAUUAAUAUCUCAACUGAAUUUAGUGCCUUGAAGAGGAUGAUGCCACUGGGAAUUAUUAUGCCAAUUCAACAAUCUCUUACUGUUACUCUACCGACAUAUGAUGUGAAUCUCUCAGACUCGCUUACCUCUAAUAUCUUUUCUGCCACAGAUCUUCCUACAAUAUCAGGAAUAGCUGAUGAAGCUGAGAUUCUCUCAUCUCUUCAGCGACCUAAGAAAAUUGUUCUGUUGGGCAGUGAUGGCAUUGAACGUCCUUUCCUCUGUAAACCCAAGGAUGACCUCAGGAAAGAUGCACGUAUGAUGGAGUUCACCGCAAUGAUAAAUCGUUUGUUAUCGAAAUACCCUGAAAGCCGUCGAAGGAAGCUCUACAUUCGCACCUUUGCAGUGAUUCCUCUAACAGAGGACUGUGGUAUGGUAGAGUGGGUGCCCCACACUCGUGGAUUGCGGCAUAUACUUCAAGACAUUUACGUAACUUGUGGAAAAUUUGAUAGGCAGAAAACGAAUCCUCAAAUUAAACGGAUUUAUGAUCAAUGCCAAGGUAAAAUACAGGAUGAUGAGUUGCUGAAGAACAAGAUUCUUCCAAUGUUCCCACCAGUUUUUCAUAAAUGGUUUUUGACCACUUUCUCUGAGCCGGCUGCUUGGUUUAGGGCUCGGGUUGCUUAUGCACAUACUACUGCAGUGUGGUCCAUGGUUGGGCAUAUUGUGGGGCUGGGUGACCGACAUGGUGAAAACAUUCUUUUUGAUUCUACCACAGGUGAUUGUGUUCAUGUUGAUUUCAGUUGCUUAUUUGACAAAGGCUUGCAGUUAGAGAAGCCUGAGCUGGUGCCUUUCAGGCUAACCCAGAACAUGAUUGAUGGUUUGGGCAUCACUGGGUAUGAAGGAAUUUUCUUGAGGGUCUGUGAGAUCACGCUAUCAGUACUGAGAACACACAGGGAGACUUUGAAGAGUGUUCUUGAAACUUUCAUUCAUGAUCCGCUUGUAGAAUGGACAAAGUCUCACAAGUCCAGUGGCAUAGAGGUUCAGAAUCCACAUGCCCAGCGAGCCAUCAGCAAUAUUGAGGCAAGGUUGCAAGGGGUUGUUGUUGGUGUUGGGGCAGCACCAUCUUUGCCUCUAGCUGUAGAAGGUCAGGCUCGUCGAUUAAUUGCAGAAGCAGUAUCUCACAAAAAUCUUGGCAAGAUGUAUAUAUGGUGGAUGCCAUGGUUUUAGGAGUUAAAUGAAUAGAGAGAUUUUUCCUCUAUUGAGUCCAGUCUUUUGCAACAUUCAAGUGCUGUGUUUGCUUUCUUCCUCAGAUCUCUCGAAGACAUAUAAGGUUAGGGGGUUAACAUGAUAUACAGGUGAAACUAAAUAGCAACUCAAUUUUGUGUUGAAAGAAGCCUUUUAAUUCACAGACAACGUGUCUUUGGCAGAUUUCUACAAGAUGGCGUUUUACUAUGGGGGAAUAUCCUUAUCAUGGAUCAUGCUAUAAGUUGUUGAGGGUUUGAACAAGCUGAAGGUGACAGUAUUCAAAGAGUGGACCACCUACAUGGGACUGUGGAUAGGUUUUUGGUUAAGGAGAUAGUCAAAGGGAGAAGUGGUGUACACUGUAUGCUGCCCUUUGCAGCCGUAACUGAACAUGUGCAGUAUGUUCAGUUACAAUAGCAUUGCCACCUAGAUACUUUCAAAGGACCCUCUGUACAUGAGAUUUUCCUUUUGUAUAUUCAUUUGGGUAGGCAUAGGUCUUUUGUGUGUUAUAUUAUGUAAAAUGGUAUUUUGUAAUUAAAUUUUUUUUAUUCCGUUGUAUAUACAUAAUAUUUCUGUGCCUGUAGUACUGUCAGCUACGUUGAUGUCACUUUCUUGGAUGAAGCUGGAGACAUUUGCUAUCUUCAUGUUGUAAGUUGCAAAUGGUAGUAUUUCUGCCUUCGUGUACCAUGGUAACAUAACAUUUCUGUUCCAAUAAUACUGUCGGCUACUUUGAUGCCA